AAGGGAGACCUAAUUCGGGUAUAAGACGAAAAAAGAGUAGUCGAAACCAAGAAUCAAUCCCAAAAGGUCGGAACGAGGUAUGUGGCUUUCAAACUAGGUUCUGGGUUCACACAAGACCUGAAUCAGGAACAAGGGCUAUUAGCUCAGGUGGUUAGAGCGCACCCCUGAUAAGGGUGAGGUCCCUGGUUCGAGUCCAGGAUGGCCCACCUGCACAGGUGGCAAAAACAAGAGAAGCUCCGAAUCAGCACCUUAUCUUAUAUACAUGUAUAAGAGAGAAUGCUGGCUCUGAGUAAAGAGUCCAGAGGAACCUUGAAAACUGCAUAGAGCUAGGUGAAAAAGCCAAAAAAGAAGACCGCAA
rnacentral:tRNA from 1 species